rnacentral:rRNA from 1 species
CACGUAGGGGGCGAGCGUUGUCCGGAUUUAUUGGGCGUAAAGAGCUCGUAGGCGGCUUGUCGCGUCGAAUGUGAAAACUCGGGGCUCAACUCCGAGCUUGCAUUCGAUACGGGCAGGCUAGAGUUCGGUAGGGGAGAUUGGAAUUCCUGGUGUAGCGGUGAAAUGCGCAGAUAUCAGGAGGAACACCGAUGGCGAAGGCAGGUCUCUGGGCCAUUACUGACACUGAGAAGCGACAGCAUGGGGAGCGAACAGG